rnacentral:rRNA from 1 species
GUGAGGAAUAUUGCGCAAUGGGCGAAAGCCUGACGCAGCGACGCCGCGUGGGGGAUGAAGGCCUUCGGGUUGUAAACCCCUUUCAGGAGGGAAGAUGGGACGGGCAACCGUUCGGACGGUACCUCCAGAAGCAGCCACGGCUAACUCUGUGCCAGCAGCCGCGGUAAGACAGAGGUGGCAAGCGUUGUUCGGAUUUACUGGGCGUAAAGGGUGCGUAGGUGGUUAGGUAAGACCUGCGGGAAAGACCUGGGCUUAACCCAGGAAGGUCGCAGGUGACUGCCUAGCUAGAGGGCGGGAGAGGAGAGCGGAAUUCCCGGUGUAGCGGUGAAAUGCGUAGAGAUCGGGAGGAAGGCCGGUGGCGAAGGCGGCUCUCUGGAACGUUCCUGACACUGAGGCACGAAAGCGUGGGGAGCAAACAGGAUUAGAUACCCUUGUAGUCC